GCGAGUGAGCGGCAAAAGCUCAAAUUUGAAAUCUGGUACCUUUGGUGCCCGAGUUGUAAUUUGGAGAGUACCACUUUGGGACUGUACUUUGCCUAUGUUCCUUGGAACAGGACGUCAUGGAGGGUGAGAAUCCCGUGUGGCGAGGGUGUCAGUUCUUUGUAAAGGGUGCUCGAAGAGUCGAGUUGUUUGGGAAUGCAGCUCUAAGUGGGUGGUAAAUUCCAUCUAAAGCUAAAUACAGGCGAGAGACCGAUAGCGAACAAGUACAGUGAUGGAAAGAUGAAAAGAACUUUGAAAAGAGAGUGAAAAAGUACGUGAAAUUGUUGAAAGGGAAGGGCAUUUGAUCAGACAUGGUGUUUUGCGCCCCUUGCCUCUCGUGGGCUUGGGACUCUCGCAGCUCACUGGGCCAGCAUCGGUUUUGGCGGCCGGAAAAAACCUAGGGAAUGUGGCUCUGCGCCUCGGUGUAGAGUGUUAUAGCCCUGGGGAAUACGGCCAGUCGGGACCGAGGACUGCGAUACUUGUUAUCUAGGAUGCUGGCAUAAUGGUUAUAUGCCGCCCGUCUUGA
rnacentral:rRNA from 1 species